rnacentral:siRNA from 1 species
AGUACCCUGCCACGGUACAG